rnacentral:rRNA from 1 species
GUGAACGCUGGCGGUAGGCCUAACACAUGCAAGUCGAACGGCAGCACAGUAAGAGCUUGCUCUUACGGGUGGCGAGUGGCGGACGGGUGAGGAAUACAUCGGAAUCUACUUUUUCGUGGGGGAUAACGUAGGGAAACUUACGCUAAUACCGCAUACGACCUACGGGUGAAAGCCGGGGAUCUUCGGACCUUGCGCGAUUGAAUGAGCCGAUGUCGGAUUAGCUAGUUGGCGGGGUAAAGGCCCACCAAGGCGACGAUCCGUAGCUGGUCUGAGAGGAUGAUCAGCCACACUGGAACUGAGACACGGUCCAGACUCCUACGGGAGGCAGCAGUGGGGAAUAUUGGACAAUGGGCGCAAGCCUGAUCCAGCCAUACCGCGUGAGUGAAGAAGGCCUUCGGGUUGUAAAGCCCUUUUGUUGGGAAAGAAAAGCAGCAGGUUAAUACCCCGCUGUUCUGACGGUACCCAAAGAAUAAGCACCGGCUAACUUCGUG